UAGGGAAUCUUCCGCAAUGGGCGAAAGCCUGACGGAGCAACGCCGCGUGAGUGAUGAAGGUCUUCGGAUCGUAAAACUCUGUUAUUAGGGAAGAACAAAUGUGUAAGUAACUAUGCACGUCUUGACGGUACCUAAUCAGAAAGCCACGGCUAACUACGUGCCAGCAGCCGCGGUAAUACGUAGGUGGCAAGCGUUAUCCGGAAUUAUUGGGCGUAAAGCGCGCGUAGGCGGUUUUUUAAGUCUGAUGUGAAAGCCCACGGCUCAACCGUGGAGGGUCAAUGGAAACUGGAAAACUUGAGUGCAGAAGAGGAAAGUGGAAUUCCAUGUGUAGCGGUGAAAUGCGCAGGGAUAUGGAGGAACACCAGUUGCGAAGGCGACUUUCUGGUCUGUAUCUGACGCUGAUGUGCGAAAGCGUGGGGAUCAAACAGG
rnacentral:rRNA from 1 species